rnacentral:rRNA from 1 species
GGGUGAGUAACACGUGGAUAGCCUACCUAUAAGACUGGGAUAACUUCGGGAAACCGGAGCUAAUACCGGAUAAUAUAUUGAACCGCAUGGUUCAAUAGUGAAAGACGGUUUUGCUGUCACUUAUAGAUGGAUCCGCGCCGCAUUAGCUAGUCGGUAAGGUAACGGCUUACCAAGGCGACGAUGCGUAGCCGACCUGAGAGGGUGAUCGGCCACACUGGAACUGAGACACGGUCCAG